UACGGAGGGUGCAAGCGUUGUUCGGAAUCACUGGGCGUAAAGGGCGCGCAGGCGGUUUGAAUAGUCAGAUGUGAAAGCCCACGGCUUAACCGUGGAAGUGCAUUUGAAACUGUCAGACUUGAGUACCAGAGGGGAAAGUGGAAUUCCCGGUGUAGAGGUGAAAUUCGUAGAUAUCGGGAGGAAUACCGGUGGCGAAGGCGACUUUCUGGCUGGAUACUGACGCUGAGGCGCGAAAGCGUGGGGAGCAAACAGG
rnacentral:rRNA from 1 species